GGAGCAAAACUCAAAAAAAUAAGUCUCAGUUCGGAUUGAAGGCUGAAAUUCGCCUUCAUGAAGCCGGAAUUGCUAGUAAUGGCAGGUCAGCAUACUGCCGUGAAUACGUUCCCGGGCCUUGUACACACCGCCCGUCACACCAUGAGAGUUGGGAAUACCCGAAGCCUGUGAGCUAACUUUUAGAGGCAGCAGUCGAAGGUAGAAUCAAUGAUUGGGGUGAAGUCGUAACAAGGUAUC
rnacentral:rRNA from 1 species